rfam:Onchocerca volvulus assembly O_volvulus_Cameroon_v3 genomic scaffold, OVOC_OM4
UCACGAAAGUGGAGGGUAAGAUCUACACUAAAUGUUUCAAAUAAGUGAGAUUCUUAUUCCUCCACUUUCCUGUC